CAGCCGCCGCGGUAAUACCGGCGGCCCGAGUGGCGGCCACUGUUAUUGGGCUUAAAGCGUCCGUAGCCGGGUUGGUUAGUCUCCCGGGAAAUCUGGCCGCUUAACGGUCAGAAUUCCGGGAGAUACUGCCAGCCUAGGGACCGGGAGAGGCCGAGGGUCUUCCCGGAGUAGGGGUGAAAUCCUAUAAUCCCGGGAGGACCACCUGUGGCGAAGGCGCUCGGCUGGAACGGGUCCGACGGUGAGGCACGAAGGCCAGGGGAGCAAACCGGAUUAGAUACCCGGGUAGUCCUGGCUGUAAACGAUGCGGACUUUGUGUCGGACAAGCUAUGAGCUUGUCCGGUGCCGGAGGGAAACCGUUAAGUCCGCCGCCUGGGGAGUACGGCCGCAAGGCUGAAACUUAAAGGAAUUGGCGGG
rnacentral:rRNA from 1 species